GACAUAGGUUGCGAGCGUUAUCCGGAAUUAUUGGGCGUAAAGGGUGCGUAGGUGGUUUGUUAAGUUAUCCGUGGCAAAUCGGGGCUCAACCUCGUGGAAGCUGGUAAUACUGUCAUACUCGAGUGCAGGAGAAGUUAACGGAACUCUAUAUGGAGCGGUAAAAUGUGACGAUAUAUAGAAGAACACCAAUAAGGCGAAGGCAGUUAACUAUUCUGUUACUGACAUUGAGGCAUGAAAGCGUGGGGAGCAAAACGG
rnacentral:rRNA from 1 species